rnacentral:rRNA from 1 species
GAUGAACGCUGGCGGUAUGCUUAACACAUGCAAGUCGAACGGAUGUUUUCGGACAUUAGUGGCGGACGGGUGAGUAACGCGUGAGAAUCUAGCUUCAGGUUGGGGACAACAGUUGGAAACGACUGCUAAUACCGAAUAUGCCGAGAGGUGAAAGAUUUAUUGCCUGAAGAAGAGCUCGCGUCUGAUUAGCUAGUUGGUGGGGUAAGAGCUUACCAAGGCGACGAUCGGUAGCUGGUCUGAGAGGACGAUCAGCCACACUGGGACUGAGACACGGCCCAGACUCCUACGGGAGGCAGCAGUGGGGAAUUUUCCGCAAUGGGCGAAAGCCUGACGGAGCAAUACCGCGUGAGGGAAGAAGGCUCUUGGGUUGUAAACCUCUUUUCUUAGGGAAGAAAAAAAUGACGGUACCUAAGGAAUAAGCAUCGGCUAACUCCGUGCCAGCAGCCGCGGUAAUACGGAGGAUGCAAGCGUUAUCCGGAAUGAUUGGGCGUAAAGCGUCCGCAGGUGGCAAGUCAAGUUUGCGGUUAACAGGUUCUGGCUCAACCAGAGACAGGCCGUGAAAACUGACUAGCUAGAGUAUGGUAGGGGCAGAGGGAAUUCCCAGUGUAGCGGUGAAAUG